rnacentral:rRNA from 1 species
GAUGAACGCUGGCGGCGUGCCUAACACAUGCAAGUCGAGCGAACGGACCAGGAGUUUGCUUCUCUGAUGUUAGCGGCGGACGGGAGAGUAACACGUGGAUAACCUACCUAUAAGACUGGGAUAACUUCGGGAAACCGUAUCUAAUACCGGAUAAUAUUUUGCACCGCGUGGUUCAAAAGUGAAAUACGGUCUUUCUGUCACUUAUAGAUGGAUCCGCGCUGCAUUAGCUAGUUGGUAAGGUAACGGCUUACCAAGGCAAGGAGGCAUAGACGACCUCAGAGGGUGGUCGGCCACACUGGAAGUGAGACACGGUCCAGACUCCUACGGGAGGAAGCAGUCGGGAAUCUUCCGCAAUGGGCGAGAGCCUGACGGAGCACCGCGGCGUGAGUGAUGAAGGUCUUAGGAUCGGAAAACUCUGUUAUUAGGGGAGAACAGAUGUGUAAGUAACCGUGCACAUAUUGACGGUACCGGGUCAGAAAGCCACGGCUAACUACGUG